CCCUUCUUUCAAGGUGUCUGCCCACAAAACCUGCAAAUACCUUUUUCCUUCUCCCCCCUAUCCCAAGGAGUCUUGAAAUUAUCUUACAUCUCAAAAACAAAGGCUGAGCAAUGAUGUGUAAAGGGGUUUUUAAUCAGGCCGGCUGAAAAAUAUCUGCCACGAUCCCUCUGUGAAUCUGGUAAUUUCUCCUAUUUUAAGCAGGAAAACUUUGUGCCUCAGCACUGGAAGAGCAGUGUGUAGUGUCAGUUUGAUGCUACGUUUUGAAAUCCCACUGACUGAAAUGAAAAUUGCCAUUUGUGCUUUAGUCAGAAUUGGAUUCUUUGUGUAGUAAUGUCAAGUAUCUAGUGAAAAUUUGUAAAAGAUUGUACAGUGAAAGUGUCCUGGGCUCAGGUGUGUCCUUCCAGCAGGGACCUGUUUGGUGCAGCCAGGUGGGG